CUAAAAGACUAGUACUACUGAUUCUCCUAGCUAGGCGCAUUCUGCUCAGCAGACGCCUAGAACAGCAAGUAGCCACAGCCCACGGGCGGGGCGCUGCCGUGGAGGAAAGCUCGCUCCGACCCCAUGCUGCGCGGCGUCGUCCUCGCCGGCCGCCGCGCGCUGCACCCGCGCCGGCUGCAGCUGGCCAGCAGCAAGGCCACCUCCACCACCACCCCGCGCAGCGGCUCGACGCCCGGCUACAGCUUGCUCUUGCUUCUUCUGCUGUUACUCUGCUGCGUUCAGGCGAGCGCCUACGACCCGCUCGAUCCGAGCGGAAACAUCACCGUUAGCUGGGACUUCCUCGACAUCAAGGACAUUUACUCGGUCUCGGUUAGUCUCCAGAACUACCAGCUCUACCGCCACCUCGAGGAUCCAGGGUGGCGGCUGAGCUGGUUUUGGGCUGGCGAUGAGGUGAUCUUGGACGCGAAGGGCGCGGAGGCGACCGAGCAGGGAAACUGCACUCGCUUCGUCGGCGCUCACAGCUGCAAGAAGCGGCCUGUAAUGAUGGACCUGGGCCCCGGCACGCCGUACAACCUUCAGGUCGCCAACUGCUGCCGGGGCGGUGUCCUGUCUUCACUCGUGCAGAACAGCAAGGCGGCCACAUCGACGUUCAUGAUGACCGUCGGCAACUUUGCUCCUUCCAGCGACGUCGGCCCCCAGAUGCCAUUCAAUUUCAGCAUUGGGGUGCCAGGUUACACUUGCAGCAAUGCCACAGUGGUGCCCCCAUCCAGGACCCAGAUUGACAAGCAGCGGCACAUCCAGGCCUUGAUCGGAGAUCCUACUGAGGAAGGACCAGGACUUCACCUUUGAUGCAGGUUGGGCGUUCCCGAGGAAGAUGUACUUUGACGGCGGUGAGUGCGCGAUGCCACCACCUGACGACUACCCACCGCUGCCCAGCGCCAGCUGCGAUCAGCUCCUCUCGGCAGUGCUGAGGUCACUGCUUGCGGGCCUCGUCUUGUUGUUUCUCCUGUUCUAGGGGAGGAGGAGGUCGGAGAAGGAAGAAGUUAUCAAGCCGUGGGACUCGGUCAGCCUUGCACAAAGAGAGGAUCAUGCUACUGGAGUUGUCAAGUAUUGAUGAAUGCUUAGACUAGUGUCCCAGAACUGCUCUGAGGGGCACAGCCGGGAUGGAUAGCUGCUUCGCAGUGUUACUAGCUUGGUGAUUGGUGUUAUAUAGUUGUCCAAGGCGCUGUUCGUGUUAACCUUUCCAAAUGCACUUAUUAGUUUACUAUAUAUUCCUCCAAAGUUGGUGCCGCUCCUUCUGAGUGUUGCUGUAGACCAACAACCUGUUUAGACAUCUUUGCGUGUGUUUGUUUCACUCUGUAACACCAAGCUGUCACAUAAGCUUCAGUCAGUUCCGUUAUA